GUACUGUAUUUUCGUCUGUUUGGCUUUAUUCGUUUUCCGUGAUUUCAGCUGCGUCCACGUGUUCAAGAAAAGUAUACGCUGCAUCUUUGCGGAACUAAAUGUCAAGUCCGUAACGUAUGAACAAUGGGCGUUGUUAGUGACCACAUUACAAUUGAUAUUCACGACAUCUACCGUGUUUAUGGUUGAAAUUUACGGUAGGAGAAAACUCUUGUUGAUCUCGAGUCUCGGUAUGCUCUUAACGGCUACAGGUCUAGAGCUGUUUAUUUUCAACAGUGACGCAAUCACCUCCACAGAAAUACGUCAUGUAUGCAUUAUGUCCGUGUUACUUUUAUACAUUUUAUUUUUUGCUCAAGGUUUCAGCUCAAUACCUUGGACUAUGCCAUUCAAAAUCAUUCAGAAAAAUAUCAGGAAUUAUACUUUAGGUUUCAUAAUCAGC